UACGUAGGGUGCGAGCGUUAAUCGGAAUUACUGGGCGUAAAGCGUGCGCAGGCGGCGCGUUUAAGACAGGUGUGAAAGCCCCGAGCUUAACUUGGGAAUUGCGCUUGUGACUGGCGAGCUGGAGUGUGGCAGAGGGGGGUGGAAUUCCGCGUGUAGCAGUGAAAUGCGUAGAGAUGCGGAGGAACACCGAUGGCGAAGGCAGCCCCCCUGGGCCAACACUGACGCUCAUGCACAAAAGCGUGGGGAGCAAACAGG
rnacentral:rRNA from 1 species